rnacentral:lncRNA from 1 species
AAGGCAUUCCCAUCAAUGCCAGGUGUCAGCAUACUGCAGGGAUGCACCGAGAUACACGGCUGCCAGUGAAAAGAAGAUGCCCUCUGACUUGCCACCAUGAGCAGUCAAAACGAAACUUGUCUUGGAUUAGGCUGUUUUCGUGUCAGGAGAAACACAGUGUAGCUGCUGACUUCAUUGUGCCCCCUCACCAUCCUAAGGGCUUGUUGGAUGCCAUGAUGAAGAGAACCCACUGCCUAAAGCCCUCAUCUCCUGGUACCCAAAGGAGCAGUGACUGGCGAGGGAAGAUGGCAGAUCCAGGCCUAGGAUGCUGCUGGGUGAGGAUGCUCAUGAGAGGAGGCACACAGAGGUGUGACACACGCAUAGUUUCAGUUCCCACACAUGGCUCAACCCCAAAGAGGGACAGACAGCCCAAAGAUCCUCUACAGAAAGCAACUGGAAUACUUA